UAACUGUUUAGAACUCUGGAAAAGAUUGUGAGCAAGACUUUAUAGCACAAACAUUUAUAACCACCCUAAAAGAACACAGUUGAUCUCAGAGUUCCAUGACAGUUGGAGGCUAAGGUGGUCAAUUUCUUGUAAAGUGGGGAAGGGUGGGAGGAGAGGGAAAGACUACUUAAGGGAGAAAGGGUUGUGGCAAGUAUCCCAAAGAAAAGUAAUUUGGUAUCUUGAACUGGUAUUUUAGUAGUAAAACAAAACAAAACUCAUUUUUCCUUUUUGAUUUACAUUACAAAUUUCAGAAUUUUCUUAGGUAAGAUACUAAGGCAAACAUUUAAGUUGGACAUAGGAUGGGAUGAAAGAAGAAAAGGUAUAUUUUUGGCAAGAUAUAAGAUACUUUUAGCUUUAUUUCAAGAUUUUGCUUUUUGAAGUCUUAAAAACUGAUGCUUCUCUCUCCUUAGAGAAGAUAGCAGUCAAUAGUUUCACAUCUUUUGGGGAAUGAAGAUUUAUUUCUGCAGGUCAGGAAGGACAAAUGUUGAAAUUAUACUUGAUUUCCUUAAAAGGACGGAUGGCAUUAGAAGAAACAUAGGGUGCUACCUUUGAUGUGACAAACCUUCCUAACAUUUAGUGAUUCUACAUUCAGGGAAGAGAAACAUGGCUCAUACCCGCAGGAAUUUGAUCUUCUUAGAAUUUGACAUUAAAGAAUGCAGAGAGGGGAUGUUUCAAUCUAUGUUAACAGCUCCUGGGUCUACUUCAUACUGAUACAGGGCUGAAAUCAAAUUGGGGAAUUGACAGUUCUUGGUCUUCAGCCUAAGAAAGAGUGGAAUAAAUGGCAAAUGGAUGGAUAUAGAAUUUUCACUACUACUAUCUUCCUCAUCUAAUCUUUGUGGGCCCAGCUUGGGUGACUUCAGGCAAUUUGAUGAAUCAUUUUGAGCUUCAGUUUCCUCAUCUUUAAAUUUUGCCCAGUUUUGCCUCAGUAGCUUCAGAAGUUGGGUGGAGAAAUAAGACCUAAAAAGACUUCAGUGACCUGGCAAGGUAAU